rnacentral:rRNA from 1 species
UACGAGGGGGGCAAGCGUUGUUCGGAAUUACUGGGCGUAAAGCGCACGUAGGCGGCUUUGCAAGUCAGAGGUGAAAUCCCGGGGCUCAACCCCGGAAUAGCCUUUGAGACUGCAUCGCUUGAACAUCGGAGAGGUAAGUGGAAUUCCGAGUGUAGAGGUGAAAUUCGUAGAUAUUCGGAAGAACACCAGUGGCGAAGGCGGCUUACUGGACGAUUGUUGACGCUGAGGUGCGAAAGCGUGGGGAGCAAACAGG